UUCUUUACAUUUUGCAAGCUGCACAAGGAAAUGAAUGCACAUACAUUUCCGCGUGCAGCUUGCAAAACUGCCAAGAAAUGAAUUCUAUAUUCAGAUUUUGAGUGUUUCUUAUAUAUCUUUAAUGAAAUCAUAUGUAUGAGAUUAGAUGCAGUUCAGUUUUUAAAGAGAUCAUUACUAAGGUUUUAGUUGCUGAAAGGAUUGAAACACUAGCAAGUAUUGUUUCAUUUAUUCUAUAUGCUUUUAAAGGCUAGUUCAGUCUAUGGAGGCCUGCGUGCAAUUUAUAUAUUCAUAUGAAAUUCUGUUUGGAGUUGGAUCUACAACUUUUAAUAGUAUUUUAGAUUCGAAUUUUUGUUUUGUUUUGUUUUGGUGUAUAGGUCUAAGAGUUUUUGUUAAAUUCAUCCAGAUAUGGUGGUUUUUAAAGAGUGGAAAUCUGUUUAGAAUUUGGAAUUGUAGAAAUUUAGUUUUCUUAGGGAGUUUAAAGUAAAUAAUCAGUAUAUUAUCAGUUAGUUGUUUCUGGAUUUGAUUGCAUAACUUAUUUUUAGUAUUGACAUUUCGGAUCACAUGCCAUGAUCCAUUAUCACAGGAUGUUUGGAGAAUGCCGAGAGAUGUACGAUAGUAAGUUGCUAAUAUUAAGUUACAUAAUCAAAUUCAGAAGCAACUAACUGAUAUUAGCAUGGAUUGUGAAAAUCUGAUUACAUUACUCAGCAUAUUGUUUGGUAUUUUGAAGGUUAUAAGAGGUUUGACUUUCGGAUGUUUAUUUAAGUUCCCCCCUUUCCAAGAACUUAUGGUUAUAUCAUUUCUAUAUGUAUACUAAAUCUUGAUUUGUUCUAAUGUUUAUGGUAUUUAACAAUUAUGGUAGGACACUUUGUAUGGUUGUCAAAAUCUCAUUGACCUCUCCCCACAAGGGAUAGUCCCCUUCUUGUGGAUGUAAGGUGAGUACAUAGUUACAAUGCUCAUAGAAACAAUUCUAAUGGUUCCCAUGGUUCUCCACUACUUUAGCAUAGAGCUUAGGUUCAUAGUACUUAUGGUUGGUCUUAGCGAACUUUCCUACCUUGUGUUGGAUUAGGACUACAUGAUAUAGGUGCUCUUGGUUGGUUGGAUAGCCCUGUUGGACUAAUACCCAACGUCCCCUUUAGAUUUGGGACAUGGGCUAACUGCCUCCUAUGGAUCCGUUUAUCUUUGGCAUUUGUAUGAGAUGUUAAUAGGUCGAUCUUUUGGUCUAACGGAAAACAUGUUCCAACAAAUAGUAUUGGAUCCAAGUGGUGGGUUCAAAUACCCUUGGGUGACAUUAGGGGGGAGGGAGAUUCUUGGACUAAUCGUCAACGUCCCCCUUUGGAUUUGGGACAUGGACUAACUGCCUCAUGCAGAUCAGUUUAUCUCUGGCAUUUGUAUUCAACAUUAAUAGGUCGAUCUUUUGGCAAAACAACAAACAUGUUCCAACAAGCCCAAAGUUUAUUGCUUGGAAUUUUACACUACUUCUAAUAGGAAUUAAACUUGACUAAUAGAUGAAGAUAAAAAUAAUGAUGGAGGAGACAUCAUUUGUUGGGAGUCAAUUCCUAAAGCCUAGGAGCUUCACAAUUGCUUGGUAGAUCUUUAUGCUCAUCAUUUGACAUCACCACCUGUUGCAUUCAUAGCUCCUGCAAAUUAAUAGUUUAAUCAGUUAUCUAUCAUGAUCUUGUUUUGUUGUUUGUGUUUAAGGCCUUGUAUCUCAGAAACAUUGGGGUGUGAUGCCAUUCUAGCUAUCUUUCAUUUGUUUAUAUUAUAAAAAAAUCUUGUUUAUACAAGGAACAUGUAAAACACAUUCAUUAAAAAAAUAUUCUUGUGUGAGAUUCUUCUCUUUUACCCUAUCUAUUAUUUAAUUAAUCUAAAUUUGACACUCAAUAUUUUAAUUUUUUCUUUAAAAAAUAAAAUAGAAAAAGAUGUAUCGGAUGCUCAAUCAAUCAUUUGUUGAUCAUGUUUAAGCCAACAAAAAAUGUUGUUGAUUAAGAAACUAUGCCACUUGCCUACAUAUGGUGUGAAUCACAUUAAAAUUCCAAUAUAUCAAGUAUCAAAAUGAAUUUUUAUUUGUAACUUUUUACUCUUUUGAAUGUUAUUAGUGGUGGUUACUUGUAGUUAUUUAUUAUGCAUUUAUAUUAAUUUAUUCCAUCUUUGUUGAAUUUGAGAUAUGUCCUCUCAUUAUUUUAGUGAUAUUUUAUUUGGUGAUUAUAAUACACAAGUGAAAACUAAUGGCCACCUUUCAAAUUGAUCAUUUAAGGUUUUCCACAUUUUCUAGAUUAGAUACUCCAUGGUGUUGGUAAAUCAUGAGUUUUAUUCUUAAUGUAGGAUCCUCCUUCGUGUUGUGCCUCAUUGAAUUUGAUAUUAUUAAGUCACCACCAUAUAUAUUUUCUAUGAGUGAACUAUUGGUCUCUCUAAGGGGGAGAUAAAUAAAGGUAUCUAUAUUGAGAUUUAUAUAGAUUCUACCUCCAAUCCAUGUGAAGUGCACUAAACAAUCACUAUCUCCAAAACACCAACACUACUUAGAUCUAUAUAUUCAUUAUAGGGAUAGACUCAUCUUCCUCCUCCUAAGAUAUAAUAUAUUAUAUAUAUUUUCUAGCCUAAAGACCCCUCUUCCAUACAACUUAAAGUUUGCUCACACCAACAUUGCAUUGAGAUUUACGAUUAUAUUCCUCAACAACAUCAUAUUUUUUAGCUAUGUUCUUCCUUACAAUGUGAUCAAAUAAUUUAUUUUUCCUUUCAAAGAUGCACUUCCAAAGUUCUUUCUAGAGUCUAACUUAAUAGAAGGACUAGAUAUUCUUCUUAUGGGAUAUGUUUUAACUUCAUUAACAACUUUCUAGAGGGAUAUUCAUGAAAUAAAAUCAUACUAUAUUGACUACUUCCUAUUUCUAACCUCUAAGUUCAUUAUGAAGAGUGCCCAACAUAGCCAACUUCCAAGUUUAUAUUAUAGAUCCAUGAUGCAUCACAAGUUACAUAGUUACCUCGAUAGCCUUAAGUUCUUUACACUCUUUUAUAGGCUUGAUUAUUAGAAUAUCUAUCAAAGAUCUUUAGGGUUUGUGUAUAAAACCUUAAUUUCCUUCAUUGUAUUAUUCAGUAUAUAUUUUUGUAUUUAUUUGGGUUGUACCCCUACACUAAAUUUCCCUCUAUACAUUGUACCUCUUUGAGUCCCACAAUCAAUUUUUGAGCUUCUAUAGACAAAUUAACACGUAAAUUAACUUAAAUUAUUGAAUUUAUUAUCUAUUAAUUUUUAUAUUUGUCUAAUGAUACUUGAUGACUAUUAUUAAAAUUUAAUUUUGAAGUGAUAAGAAUUUAAAAAUAUAAGAAUACAUCUUUCAAUAUUUGGUAUAAUUACAUAGACUGGUAUGAAUGUAAAGGCUACAUGUAUCUAGUAAAAGUAUCACCCAGCUUUUUAUAUAAUUAAAAAAGUAGAAGAAGAAAUGGCUAAUAAAAUAUGAAUGAAAAUCAUUAAACAAAUAAGUUAUUACCUAUCCAAUUAUUAGUUCCUGCCAGCAGGAAACUACAGGGGAGGCUAUUUUGCUUAACCCUUUAUUAAUCUGAGCAUGCCCAACCAAUCAAAGAUUGUUUUGUUGCAAAAUUUCCCUAUUUCCUUACUUUCUUUCCCAUAAAGAUGCAUAUUAUUUAAGCGAAUUAUAAUGCUUGAGCUUUUUUGGCGUGUGGAUAUUCGAUAUUUGGAUGGUUUAGAGAGUUUGUGCGGUUCUCAACGAAGAGAGAACGCACAUCUCCAGAGGCAGCUGCAGGGCCGUCAAAGCAGAGUCACUGACGGUGGUUUGAAACAGAUGGCCUCUAGGGAAUGUUGUGGAAUGCAGGAUGUAGAACAAUUGGUAAUAGAAGAAUACACUGGUUUGCAUGCUGGACAGUUGUGGGUUGUCCCGUGGGGGUUUGCAUCUUCAGCAUUGUUAUCAUCUUUGCUAAAGCCUUGACUCUCUGCUUUUGAAACUGAUGAGUGAAUUUUAACAUUUUCAUUGUUCACACAUUAAUGGUAAUAUGUCUGCUCCGCAUGCGAUUCUCGCCCAACAGAUUUUAAACUCCCCUGCUGCGUCCGUUUCGCCUUCGCCUACGGAUGUCCACCACAAGGUUGGUGCCUCCCAUGUUGCCGCCCCUACAGCUUAUGCCACAGCUGUUUCCCUUGCCCUUGUUGCUGCAACUUUUUCAAUGGAGGCUUCGGGGAUUUCCCGCUACCUGCGGAAAUAUGGUCUCAGAAAAUUCUUGUUCUUGGACCAACUGUGCGAUGACACUGCUCAAGUGCAACUGGGGUACACAAUGGAGGUGCGCUCCCCGCAUCUAUAGUUGGUAAGGUUCUGGUGGCCAUUGAUCAUGGACCCAAAAGCAAGCAUGCAUUUGAUUGGGCCAUUGUGCACUUUUGUAGGAUGGCUGAUACACUCCAUCUUGUGCAUGUUGUUUCCAGUUUAGGAAUACAAAAGCUCUGAACAGCCAGAAAGCUCACAGAGAAGCCUGAAAUAAAAUACACAAUUUAUUAUCAUUGUACUCGUUUGACUAGUUUCAUCUUCAGAAAAGAACGGAAGCAGAUACAUUUGCUAAAUAUAUGCAUUGCAUAUAUAUAUAUAUUCUUACACUUUGAAUUGCAAUGUUGCAAAUGCUUGUUUUCAGAAUUUCACUGUUCUGUAUGUUUUUUUUUUUCGUAAGUGUAAUAUAUCUCCUCUUUCUCAA